AUUGAACGCUGGCGAAAUGCUUUACACAUGCAAGUCGAACGGCAGCACGGACUUCGGUCUGGUGGCGAGUGGCGAACGGGCGAGUAAUGUAUCGGAACGUGCCCAGUCGUGGGGGAUAACGUAGUGAAAAUUACGCUAAUGCCGCAUACGAUCCAUGGAUGAAAGUGGGGGAUCGUAAGACCGCGCGCGAGUGGCGGCGCCGAUAUCAGAUUAGGUAGUUGGUGGGGUAAAGGCCCACCAAGCCAACGAUCUGUAGCUGGUCUGAGAGGACGACCAGCCACACUGGAACUGAGACACGGUCCAGACUCCUACGGGAGGCGGCAGUGGGAAAUUUUGGACAAUGGGCGAAAGCCUGAUCCAGCCAUUCCGCGUGCAGGAUGAAGGCCCUCGGGUUGUAAACUGCUUUUGUACAGAACGAAAAGGUUUCUACUAAUACUAGGAGCUCAUGACGGUACUGUAAGAAUAAGCACCGGCUAACUACGUGCCAGCCGCCGCAGUAA
rnacentral:rRNA from 1 species